UGUUACCUGCCCAGUUAUUCCUUUCCCUUGCGUUUAUGUUGUUAAUGGAACAAGUGUCUGGACUGGCACAUUCAAAUUGGUUGCCGGGGCAAACAAAUGCAGGGAUGCAUGUUUUUUUUCCGGGUGUCCCUUUUAUCUAGAAGAGGAGGGUUGUCCCCUUUUGAAUAUCUGAUGCAGACAAUAUAACUCUACCAGGCACUGCUGAGCUCCCCACACCCAAGAGCCUCUUUGCUACCUCCAGUGAUGGUGACCACUAUAGGAACCGAGAGGGAUGGACAGGCAGAUGGACAGAUUGAGUCCAGCCCUUGAACCCGACCCCUGUGAAAGCAAGAAGCAAAAGGCUGAUUGAAAAACUGAACAGGAUUCUGUUGGAAAAGGCAGUGUCGUCAGAAUAAAAAACCGUCCACCGACUGUGUUGCUUUCAGCUGAAUUGUGGAUGGAAAAGGAAAGCCUUGAAACUUUUCUCUGUUGCUGAGCUAAAAUACAUUUCUUUCCACUUU